CAGGAUCCUCUGGGCCGAAUGCCGCAUGUGAUGUCCCUAUGAAAAGAGGUGGACACAAGAAUUAUUCCUUUCCCGGUCACAACCGAAGCCUCUCCCAGCCAUCGCAGGAUUCUCUGGGCCGAAUGCUGUAUGUGAUGUCCCUGUAGAAGGAGGUGGACACGAGAAUUAUUCCUUUUCCCGGUCUCGACCGAAACAUCCACGAGCUCUACUUACCCGGAUACUCCCCCCUCACUCCGGGACAGGUGACAGACUAUCCUGGCUCUUGCUGGCCCCGUACAGGCACAAACUGCCGACGACUCCACGCCUUCCCGGCGUCCGAGGUCUGGCUCCGUUCUGGUCGGGAGACACGGAAGGAACACUGAACUUUUAAAUUGCUUUUAAUCAAAUAAAACCUUGUUCAUUUUUUA